GUGACAUCUCUGCAUCCCUACGUGGAUCUUAAGGUUUGGGGUGACAGAGAACAGGAAACCUACCUCCAAAUGGAGCCGCUGAAAGCAGCCAUUGAUACUGGUAUCUGCUGGGCAGUGUCCAGAAGGAAGAGGAACAGCAGAGGUGCCAUAGCAGAUAUCGCUGUCCACUUCCAAGGAGGGUGGGAGGAGUUAAGCCCAGUCAGCUGGCCAGCUCUGCAGGUGUGAGGGGGAGAAGCAGAUUGGGAGAUGCUAAGCAUCCCAGCAAGUGGGACGCGGGUCGUGCUGUGGUCUAAACCACAGAGCCUAGGGCUUGCCAAUCAGAAGGUCGGCGGUUCGAAUCCCUGCAACGGAGUGAGCUCCCGUUGCUCGGUCCCUGCUCCUGCCAACCUAGCAGUUCAAAAGCACAUCAAAGUGCAAGUAGAUAAAUAGGUACCACUCUGGCGGGAAGGUAAAAGGCGUUUCCAUGUGCUGCUCUGGUUUCGCCAGAAGCGGCUUAGUCAUGCUGGUCACAUGACCUGGAAAAACUGUCUGCAGACAAACAUCAGCUUCCUUGGUCAGUAAAGCGAGAUGAGCGCCACAACCCCAGACUCAUUCGUGACUGGACUUAACAGUCAGGGGUCCCUUUACCUUUAAGCAUCCCAGCAGCACUUCCUAGGGGUGGUAUUUAUGCGCCAGGCCAGUAGAGAUCCGAACAAUGAGGUUUAUUUUAUUUUUUAUUUUAAAGAAAGUUGCUAAACCUCUUGGAAGAGAUGGUACAAAGUAAGAUGUGCAGGCAAACUUCUAAGUGAGAGGUGCAAUGAGCAAGCCUUACUGCUCUCAACUUUCAGUGUUUUCUAGCCAAUGAAUGAAGUCAGAGUUGUGAUUGACAAGUGAGUUGUCUGCGCAUCAGGCAACAAGAGUCCAGCCCCAAAGACCUGCUGUUUCCCGUUCCCUGUUUUUUCUUCCCCGCUUCGCUGUUGUUUUCUACUCCUUGCAAUCUCCAAAGUUUAAAAGAGCUACAAUUUCCCCUCAUCUCCCUUUGCCUUUCCUCGCAGACAGGACUCAUCUUUCCUGUGUCAGGUUCAUCUGAGGACAGGUACUCCCUACAUGAUGUGGUGGGUUUUUUUGGCAAAUACUGCUACACAAGAAGUGUGGGUGGAAGAUGUUAGAGGAUUCCACCCCGAUAUAGCAAAUGCGAAAUCUUUGCAAUGAGGACUUGCUUCCGAGUAAAUCACGUGUGGGAUUGUUAGCAUGUUCUGAGCUGCCUUGGAGGUCAUCCGAUCAAAAACCGAGGUCUUUUAGAAGAUAGGCUCUGGCUGACAUUGUUUAUAUCACUCCUUGAUAGCAUGCACGUUCCCACUCUCACCCACCUGUCAAUCUUAUGAAACCCCAUGAGGUUGGUUUGAAUUGCAAGCUUGGCUUCUGAGGAAAUGGCAGAUGAGUUCACAGGGUCAGUAUGAACUCUCACUUUGGGAAUAAGCACACCUGAGUGCAAGUGAGGUUUAUGAAUCAAAGUAAACGUACAGUAAUGUGGUUGGAUUAAGAUGGGCUGAAGCUUUGGAGCUGUACCAAUUUGCAAGGUGGAGUGAGGGACCCAGAAAAACAUAGUGGUUUUUUUUAAUUUUUAUUGAUUUCAACAUAUAAAUUAUAAAAUGUACCACAAAACUUAUCACUUAUACAAUCUUUUUAGACUUCCAUCAGCACCUCUGAUGAUCCACCAUUUUAACCACUUCUUAUGCAUUUCUUAACUUUAUAUUGCCUUUACAUCUCUUAACAAAUCAUCCUUCCCCGUCUCCAAUUUUGCAAUACUUCCAAUAAUACUCCUCACAAAACUUCUUGCAAACCUACAAACAUCGUCUGAUCUUCACAAAUACUUUUCGAGUAGUCCAUAAAUUUACUCCAGUCUUCCAUGAAUUUCUGAUUCCGCCGGUUUCGAAUCCUUCCUGUUAGUUUAUCUAAUUCUGCAUAGUCCAUUAACUUCAUUCUCCAUUCUUCAAUCGUCGGUAAUUCUUCUUGCUUCCAUUUUUGGGCCAGUAAUAUUCUUGCUCCUGUUAUUGCAUAUAAAAAGGAAAAACAUAGUUAAAGGGAGCAAAAUGUGAUGCCCGUAAUACAAGCACUAAGUCUUUCCCCACUGCUUACUGAUUUACCCAAUCUAUGAGCCUUGUUCAAAGAUUUAAAUUUCCCAGCUGAGAGAUUGAUUGAGUAUCUGAUUAACUUUUUAUUAGGAGAAAGGUCCUCCUUAUACUUCUGAAAAAGUAACCUGUUUUGCCUUUAGACUACCAGUUUUAAGGAGAAAUGUUUGCCGGGAUGAUAAGUUAAAUUCUUCAGCGGAGCAAACUCUUAUCCGACAGAAUGCCUGGUUUUCAUAAUUACUUUGCAUAAUGUGUUUUAUUCUGUCGUAUGUGUCUCGUUUUGUUUUGUAAUGGCUUCGGCUACACAAAAAUAAAUAAUAUUGGAAUCCCCAUUUGCAGUAUUUGUCAUAGAAUCAUAGAAUUGAAGAGUUGGAGAGGGACCCAACAGCCUGCAAUCCAGGAACCUCAACCACCUCUCAAAGCACUGAUUAUAAAAUCCAGGAUGAGUGAGAUUGCCAAGGUGGGCUGGGGAAUCGCUGAAAAGGGAUCCUAAAAGAAGGGAUUUCAAAACUGUCAGCAGAACCAUACGUAAUAUCUCUGUUUCUCCACAAGAGGGCAAAAAUAACAGGUAGGCGAUUUCCUGUUGCCCUUGAUCAAUCACAUGCAGAAUCUCUGCAGUGAGUCCUUAAGGCAGUGGUUUUCUUCCCCACCCCCCACCCCCACCAGUCCACACUUUUGGAAUAAAAAUUUGCUUGUGCCACAUCAUAGUUUUUAUUGACAAAGAAUGCACAGUGCAGCUACGUAAGAAUGUGAAUCAUUCCCAAAGUAUAAACGAGCCUCUUACAUAUGUACCUUAAAAGUAUGCAUACAAACUCAAUGAAAAGUGUGAGCUUGCUUUUGCUGGGUAAUCUCAUUUAUGUUAGGUCAAUCCGAGGCAGACCAAGUCUCAUCAAUGCAAAGAAGCUUUUCUCUUUACCUGAACUCUCCUGUUCGUCAGAGUUGAAAAUCCAAGUUUGCAACAAUAUGUUGAGGAGAAAUAUAGAAGAAUAGCCAGUGCUCGUGAAGAGAGGCAUGGAUAUUGUUUCUGGUUUUGUGUCCAUUGUGCAAUGGAAUGUUUAAAUGUUCCUUUGAAUUGUCCUUGAAUCUUCCUUGCCAUCCUCUCCUGCCACACUGCUGCCUUAAGCUGUGUGGCUUCUCAGUACCGAGAAAGCUUCACAGCAGAACAUGCCUGGAUAGCUCAGUUGGUUAGAGCAUGGUGCUGAUAAUGGCAAGGUUGAAAGUUCAAUUCUCAGGGACCCUUCCAACUCCACAGUUCUAUUAUUCUGUGAUCCUAUGACCACAAAAAACAAAAUGUCUGGCAUUAAAAAGAGUAUUGUACAGCGGUACCUCGGGUUACAGACGCUUCAGGUUACAGACGCUUCAGGUUACAGACUCUGCUAACCCAGAAAUAGUACCUCGGGUUAAGAACUUUGCUUCAGGAUGAGAACAGAAAUCGCACGGCGGCAGCGGGAGGCCCCAUUAGCUAAAGUGGUACCUCAGGUUAAGAACAGUUUCAGGUUAAGAAUGGACCUCCAGAACGAAUUAAGUUCUUAACCUGAGGUACCACUGUAAUUAAUCCACGAUGCCCACGUAUUAUGGCUAGUAGCCACAGGUAGCCUUAUUCUCUUCCCCCUCCCCCUCCCAUACAUUUUAUUGAAACAUUUCACCAUUGUUGUUGUUUAGUCGUUUAGUCGUGUCCAACUCUUCGGACCAGAGCACGCCAGGCACUCCUGUCUUCCACUGCCUCCCGCAGUUUGGUCAAACUCAUGCUGGUAGCUUUGAGAACACUGUCCAACCAUCUCGCCCUCUGUCGUCCCCUUCUCCUUGUGCCCUCCAUCUCUCCCAACAUCAGGGUCUUUUCCAGGGAGUCUUCUCUUCUCAUGGGGUGGCCAAAGUCUUGGAGCCUCAGCUUCAGGAUCUGUCCUUCCAGUGAGCACUCGGGGCUGAUUUCCUUCAGACUGGAUAGGUUUGAUCUUCUUGCAGUCCACGGGACUCUCAAGAGUCUCCUCCAGCACCAUAAUUCAAAAGCAUCAAUUCUUCAGCAAUCAGCCUUCUUUCAUUUCACCAUACAGUUCAAAAAAAAAAGCUGAUCUUAAAUAAACAAAAGAAAAGAAAGAGAAAAGGAGCACGGAGAAUACAGAGCCCUCUCUCAAAGGUAGAACUUAAUCCUUGUCUCGCACAGAAAGAGGUGGGCCCUUCCGGUUAAAGGUUGGCAUGGGGGCAACGUGGAAGUUCUGCCUAUGGGAUGUUCUCUUUAUGGUCCUAUCCAUACACAACUCCUCAUUCAUUGGCUGUCAUUAAUUAUUAUUUAUUAUUAUUAUUAUUAAUUUAUUUAUAUCCCGCCCUCCCCAGCCAAAGCCAGGCUCAGAGCAGCUAACAACAAUAAAAAUAACACAGUUUACAUAAAAUCACAGUCAAUUAAUUGAAAUACAUUCUAAAAUCAAUUUAUUCUAAAAUCAAUUCAGAGUCAAAUUAAUGGCAACCAUUGGGCUAGAAUGCUAUGAGGAUUACAGAAGGACUGAGCCUUAGCCAAAGGCCUGGUGGAACAGCUCUGUCUUGCAGGCCCUGCAGGGCCCUGGUCGCUUGUGACAGAGCAUUCCACCAGAUCGGAGCCACAGCCAAAAAAAGCCCUGGCUUUGGUUGAGGCCAGCCUAACCUCCCUGUGGCCAGGGAUAUUCAAGAUGUUUUUGUUUGAAGACCGUAAGGUCCUCCGUGGGACAUACCAGGAGAGGCGGUCCUAUAGGUAUGAGGGUCCUAGGUGGUAUAGGGCUUUAAAGGUUAAAACCAGCACCUUGAACCUGAUCCUGUACUCCACCGGGAGCCAGUGCAGCUGGUAUAGCACCGGGUGAAUGUGAUCCCGCGGCGAGGACCCCAUAAGGAGUCUCGCCGCAGCAUUCUGCAGCCACUAGAGUUUCUGAGUCAGUGUUAAAGGCAGCCCCACAUAGAGUGAGUUACAAUAAUGAAGUGUGGCUAGGAUGGCUUUGGGAUGCAGGUGGCGCUGUGGGUUAAACCACAGAACCUAGGACUUGCCGAUCAGAAGGUCGGCAGUUCGAAUCCCUGCGACAGGGUGAGCUCCCAUUGCUCAGUCCCUGCUCCUACCAACCUAGCAGUUUGAAAGCACAUCAAUAGUGCAAGUAGAUAAAUAGGUACCGCUCUGGCGGGAAGGUAAACGGCGUUUCCGUGCGCUGCUCUGGUUCAUCAGAAGUGGCUUAGUCAUGCUGGCCACAUGACCUAAAAGCUGUACGCCGGCUCCCUCGACCAAUAAAGUGAGAUGAGCACUGCAACCCCAGAGUCAGUCACGACUGGACCUAAUGGUCAGGGGUACCUUUACCUAGGAUGGCUUUGGGUCCUCCAGACUGGAGGGGGGGAGGUUCGGAUGUGUGGUCUGCAACACGUCUCAGCUGCAAUAAUGGUGCUUUCGAACUGGGUUUCUACUGAGCAGUCCAGCCAUCAUUCUGCUCCGUUAGCUAUUUUGCAAUGCUUCCAGCCCAAAAAGUUUGCAGGCAUAGACAGUAUUGAAAGCGGAGCUGCGGAAGAUGGAGGCCAAGAGUAUCGGCUUUGCUAUGCUUUGCAUGUGCAUGGAUCCCCCAGCUGAAAAACGUUGCUUUGGUUCUGAUCCGUUAUAGCUGUUCCUACAUUCUUGCACUUUACUCUUCAACCGAGGCCAGAUCUCCAAAAUGCCAUCUGUGGCAAACAUCUGUCGGGAGGAAUAACUUAGGCCUCAGUGCAUCUUGUUGCAACGCACAAGGAUCAGAGGCUACAGAGUCCUUCCAUGUUACGAUGACAAAUUUUCCAAAGAAACAGCCCCCAUCUUGGGCUUUUAAAGGUCAACAUUCCAAAGCAGUUCCCUUCACAAACCACAAAUCUAUUUUAGCCGAUAUCCUCCUGGAAAGGAACCUCCUGCUUACGAUCGCUGCAUGGAUUUUCCUAUCCCCUCAUAGUCUAUCUUAAGACCCCUGCUGGUUUUGAGCAGUGAUUCCUGCAGUAUUGGACCAAGGCAACAUUGUUUGCUUGCUUGUUUCCUUUCUUCUUCAGCCCUUCUCCAGCUGGGCAAAUGAUGUGACGGGUGUCUGUCGGCUUGAAAAAGUUCCCCACCACCACAUGUGGCGUUUGAGCCCAAUGACUUCA